CCUACGGGCGGCAGCAGUGGGGGAUAUUGCACAAUGGGGGGAACCCUGAUGCAGCGACGCCGCGUGGGUGAAGGAGUAUUUCGGUAUGUAAAGCCCUAUCGGCAGGGAAGAAUUUAGACGGUACCUGACUAAGAAGCCCCGGCUAACUACGUGCCAGCAGCCGCGGUAAUACGUAGGGGGCAAGCGUUAUCCGGAUUCACUGGGUGUAAAGGGAGCGUAGACGGCCAGGCAAGCCUGGAGUGAAAGCCCGGGGCCCAACCCCGGGACUGCUCUGGGAACUGUCCGGCUGGAGUGCGGGAGGGGCAGGCGGAAUUCCUGGUGUAGCGGUGAAAUGCGUAGAUAUCAGGAGGAACACCGGCGGCGAAGGCGACCUGCUAGAACAUAACUGACGCUGAUGCGCGAAAGCGUGGGGAGCAAACAGGAUUAGAUACCCGUGUAGUC
rnacentral:rRNA from 1 species